GACGAACGCUGGCGGUGCGCUUAACACAUGCAAGUCGAACGGAAAGGCCCUGCUUUUGUGGGGUGCUCGAGUGGCGAACGGGUGAGUAACACGUGAGUAACCUGCCCUUGACUUUGGGAUAACUUCAGGAAACUGGGGCUAAUACCGGAUAGGAGCUCCUGCUGCAUGGUGGGGGUUGGAAAGUUUCGGCGGUUGGGGAUGGACUCGCGGCUUAUCAGCUUGUUGGUGGGGUAGUGGCUUACCAAGGCUUUGACGGGUAGCCGGCCUGAGAGGGUGACCGGCCACAUUGGGACUGAGAUACGGCCCAGACUCCUACGGGAGGCAGCAGUGGGGAAUAUUGCACAAUGGGCGGAAGCCUGAUGCAGCAACGCCGCGUGCGGGAUGACGGCCUUCGGGUUGUAAACCGCUUUCGCCUGUGACGAAGCGUGAGUGACGGUAAUGGGUAAAGAAGCACCGGCUAACUACGUG
rnacentral:rRNA from 1 species